CCUACGGGCGGCAGCAGUCGAGAAUCAUUCACAAUGGGGGAAACCCUGAUGGUGCGACGCCGCGUGGGGGAAUGAAGGUCUUCGGAUUGUAAACCCCUGUCAUGUGGGAGCAAAUUAAAAAGAUAGUACCACAAGAGGAAGAGACGGCUAACUCUGUGCCAGCAGCCGCGGUAAUACAGAGGUCUCAAGCGUUGUGAGGAACCACUGUGCGGAAAGCGUGCGUAGGCUGUUUCGUAAGUCGUGUGUGAAAGGCGCGGGCUCAACCCGCGGACGGCACAUGAUACUGCGAGACUAGAGAAAUGGAGGGGGAACCGGAAUUCGCGGUGUAGCAGUGAAAUGCGUACAUAUCGAGAGGAACACUCGUGGCGAAGGCGGGUUCCUGGACAUUAACUGACGCUGAGGCACGAAGGCCAGGGGAGCGAAAGGGAUUAGAUACCCGAGUAGUC
rnacentral:rRNA from 1 species